rnacentral:rRNA from 1 species
CGAACGCUGGCGGCGUGCCUAAUACAUGCAAGUCGAGCGAGCGGAACCAACAGAUUUACUUCGGUAAUGACGUUGGGAAAGCGAGCGGCGGAUGGGUGAGUAACACGUGGGGAACCUGCCCCUAAGUCUGGGAUACCAUUUGGAAACAGGUGCUAAUACCGGAUAAUAAAGCAGAUCGCAUGAUCAGCUUUUGAAAGGCGGCGUAAGCUGUCGCUAAGGGAUGGCCCCGCGGUGCAUUAGCUAGUUGGUAAGGUAACGGCUUACCAAGGCGACGAUGCAUAGCCGAGUUGAGAGACUGAUCGGCCACAUUGGGACUGAGACACGGCCCAAACUCCUACGGGAGGCAGCAGUAGGGAAUCUUCCACAAUGGACGCAAGUCUGAUGGAGCAACGCCGCGUGAGUGAAGAAGGUUUUCGGAUCGUAAAGCUCUGUUGUUGGUGAAGAAGGAUAGAGGUAGUAACUGGCCUUUAUUUGACGGUAAUCAACCAGAAAGUCACGGCUAACUACGUG